GACUUAAAAUCCGUCGACUUUAAAAAUCGU
rnacentral:tRNA from 2 species